rnacentral:sRNA from 1 species
AGAAAAGUGAGUGCCGCCCCGCACAGGGGCGACGCUAAUAGACCACCAUGACAACAAGGAAAGGCCAACCCCGCAGGCAUGCAGACAAAGACAGCCUACGUAUUCCAAAUCCGCAA